UACGAAGGGGGCUAGCGUUGCUCGGAAUGACUGGGCGUAAAGGGCGCGUAGGCGGAUGGCACAGUCAGAUGUGAAAUUCCCGGGCUUAACCUGGGGGCUGCAUUUGAUACGUGUUGUCUUGAGUUCGGAAGAGGGUCGUGGAAUUCCGCGUGUAGCAGUGAAAUGCGUAGAUAUGCGGAGGAACACCGAUGGCGAAGGCAAUCCCCUGGACCUGUACUGACGCUCAUGCACGAAAGCGUGGGGAGCAAACAGG
rnacentral:rRNA from 1 species